UACGUAGGGUGCGAGCGUUGUCCGGAAUUACUGGGCGUAAAGAGCUCGUAGGUGGUUUGUCGCGUUGUUCGUGAAAACUCACAGCUUAACUGUGGGCGUGCGGGCGAUACGGGCAGACUGGAGUACUGCAGGGGAGACUGGAAUUCCUGGUGUAGCGGUGGAAUGCGCAGAUAUCAGGAGGAACACCGGUGGCGAAGGCGGGUCUCUGGGCAGUAACUGACGCUGAGGAGCGAAAGCGUGGGGGAGC
rnacentral:rRNA from 1 species